UUCUCAGUAUUUCGUUCUGGCUAGCCUGGCUAAUAUGUAGAUCAGGCCUCGAACUCACAGAGAUGCCCCAUCUUUGCCUCCAAGUGCUGGGAUUAAAGGUGUACGCCACCAUGUCUUGCCAGCUUUAGGAUUUUUGAAUUGGUGAAUUCAAUUGAUUCUAUUAAAAUGGAAUAGGUGUGCUCACAGAUAGGACCUAGUGACUGAAGAUGACUCUAUUCUUGGCUUGUUUUUGCUUUCUAUAAUACAGGUAGUUACUUUUUUAAAAGUUCAUUUAAGGGACCAGAGAGAUUGCGCAGCAGUUGAAAGCACUUGCUGCUCUUCCAGAGAACUUAAGUUUGGUUCCCAGCACCCACACGGCAGUUCACAACUGUCCUGUAACUCCAGUUCCAGGGAACCUAAAGCUUUCUUUUGGCCCCUUAGGGAACCAGGCACACACAUGGUACAUAUACAUACAUGCGGGCAAAACACUCAUACACAUAAAUAAAACCUUACUUAAAAAAAAAAAAAAAACACUUUGAAAAUACAGUAAUUGAAACACCACGCUCACACACCCCUUACGUGCAAGCCCUGAAACAAAAGACCCCAAACAGUAACACAGACAGAAAUGGUCACUCUCUAAGUAAAAUAGCCAGGCGGCCCUUAAUCCCAGCAUUCAGGAGGCAGAGGCUGGCAGAUCUCUGAGUUGGAGGCCAGCCUGGUCUACAGAGCGAGUUCCUUGACAGCCAGGGCAACUCAGAGAAACCCUGUCUCCAAAAUCCAAAACCCAGAAACAAACAAAAAACAAGGUAAGACCGUCACUCUACACGCCCGCAGUGACUCCAAGUCUGGUGUGACACACUCCAAGUUGUAAGGCUGUAAUUUCAAAUUCAGAACCUCAGUAAGCUGACAGAAGCCAACCCCCGUUGGUGCGCACGCGCAACGGUGUGCAGCAAUAGUAAAGCACAUACCACACAGGCAGGCAUUCAAUCACUGUCACGCCCUUGCAGAGCCUUACCAUCGCCUCACAGACCAACCCACACCCGGGAGCUCGUCUGGGGCGGCUUACAGUUCCCUGCGCUCUCGCACUUGCCGCACAUCUUGAGGCACAAGCGCAAAGUGGAAAGCGUUUCGCCGCAAAGCACUCUGGGGCUGGUAGUUCCCGGGUCGGACUCAGCAGCUGGUUGAGGGCACCGCUGGCCGACCUCAGCCCUCCUGCUCGCACGCGGUGACGUCACGGGCCUGGAUCACCGAGCGUGUUUCCAUAGCCUGUGGCACCGCGAGGCUGGAAGCCAGCAAGCCCCAGCAAUCCUCCUGCCUCCACUCGCCUUGGAACAGAACUCUUUCAGGCUUUAUGUGGAUGUAUGAGCAUCAUGUUGGAGCACCAUAUGGUUCAAGCUCUCAACACAUGAGUCUUUGGGGAAACAUCAACCAAGACAGAAAACAAAGCAUCUUCAAUCAAGCUUAUUGGUAUAAAGAGGACUAAAUAUAAAAUAACACAUAAAUGCUAUUAGAAUCGAUUCUAUAAGUCCAUGCUUCCUGCACCGAUUGACUUACUUUAGAAAAAACAGGCAAUUGAAGACAAGCUUUAAAUUUUCAGAACUAAUUUUGACAACCAGACUUGUCAGCACUGUAAUAUUUGCUUUCAUCCUUUUAUUAAAGAAGUAUUA